rnacentral:rRNA from 1 species
UACGUAGGCAGCGAGCGUUGUUCGGAAUUACUGGGCGUAAAGAGUGUGUAGGCGGUGCUCUGAGUUCGGUGUGAAAUCUCCCGGCUUAACUGGGAGGGUGCGCCGGAAACUGGAGUGCUCGAGCGUGGGAGAGGAAAGCGGAAUUCCUGGUGUAGCGGUGAAAUGCGUAGAUAUCAGGAGGAACACCUGCGGUGUAGACGGCUUUCUGGACCAUUGCUGACGCUGAGACACGAAAGCGUGGGUAGCAAACAGG